rnacentral:rRNA from 1 species
UACGUAGGGAGCAAGCGUUGUCCGGAAUCAUUGGGCGUAAAGCGCGCGUAGGCGGCCCCGUAAGUCCGCUGUGAAAGUCAAAGGCUCAACCUUUGAAAGCCGGUGGAUACUGUGGGGCUAGAGUCCGGAAGAGGCGAGUGGAAUUCCUGGUGUAGCGGUGGAAUGCGCAGAUAUCAGGAGGAACACCAAUAGCGAAGGCAGCUCGCUGGGACGGUACUGACGCUAAGGCGCGAAAGUGUGGGGAGCAAACAGG